UUCACGGCGUGUCAACAAAUGAGAUGGCAUGAACGCCUGCUAUAGGCACCGCGCAGUGAAGUUUGUGGCGCCAUCUGUGGCAGCGCUGCCGUAACAAUGGGAAGGCCAAAGCGCGGGGGGACGUUAUCGGAGGCGCGGAAUUGGUGGUGGUGUUGGGUUUUUAUCAGCGUUGACAAUGGCAUCCUCCAACCGGACGAAUUCUAAUGCGUCGAUUGAAAGUGUCCGCGAAAGGAAGAGAAACAAAUACCGGUACUGUUGCGUUAAAGAUUGCCGCAGCCACGAAAGUCAGCCGGGCGUCAAACUGUACCGAUUUCCUGGCCGGCCGUGGGAGCAGGAACGACGAAAGAAAUUGACUGUUGCUGUGCGAAGAGUAAAUCGGAGCGAUGAAACGGACUGGAUUCCCAACGAAUUUUCACGGAUAUUUUCAAAACACUUCGUAAACGCGGAAAAAAAGCACUGUCGUUACGCAUCCAGCCUACUGCCCGACAUUAUUUCCUGAUGCUUGCAAAGCUCGCCCAUUCGAUGCAAUAACACGACUGUCAAGAUAUGAAAGAUGGCAUGAAAGAGCAGCAUCUGAUUGGAAUGGCUGAUAGCGCCGAGUGCAACGCCUGCGGUGUCGAGGAAACCAUAGAACACCUACUGUGCUACUGCCCAUCUUAUGAAAAUGAAAGGCAAGACCUCUGCACAGCU